GACGAACGCUGGCGGCGUGCUUAACACAUGCAAGUCGAACGGAAAGGCCCUGCUUUUGUGGGGUGCUUGUGUGGCGAACGGGUGAGUAACACGUGAGUAACCUGCCCUUGACUUUGGGGUAACUUCUGGAAACUGGGGCUAAUAUCGGAUAGGAGCUCCUGCUGCAUGGUGGGGGUUGGAAAGUUUCGGCGGUUGGGGAUGGACUCGCGGCUUAUCAGCUUGUUUGUGGGGUAGUGGCUUACCAAGGCUUUGACGGGUAGCCGGCAUGAGAGGGUGACCGGCCGCAUUAGGACUGAGAUACGGCCCAGUAUCCUACGGGAGGCAGUAGUGGGGAAUCUUGCACAAUGGGCGGAAGCCUGAUGCAGCAACCCCGCGUGCGGGAUGACGUCCUUCGGGUUGUAAACCGCUUUCGCCUGUGACGAAGCGUGAGUGACGGUAAUGGGUAAAGAAGCACCGGCUAACUACGUG
rnacentral:rRNA from 1 species